GUGAUGAUUAUUGGAGGUAGAGCACUGUUUGGACGAGGGGCCCCUCUCGGGUUACCGAAUUCAGACAAACUCCGAAUGCCAAUUAAUUUAACUUGGGAGUCAGAACAUGGGUGAUAAGGUCCGUGUUCGAAAGGGAAACAGCCCAGACCACCAGCUAAGGUCCCAAAAUAUAUGUUAAGUGGAAAAGGAUGUGGCGUUGCCCAGACAACUAGGAUGUUGGCUUAGAAGCAGCCAUCAUUUAAAGAGUGCGUAAUAGCUCACUAGUCGAGUGACACUGCGCCGAAAAUGUACCGGGGCUAAACAUAUUACCGAAGCUGUGGAUUGUCCUUUGGACAAUGGUAGGAGAGCGUUCUAAGGGCGUUGAAGCAUGAUCGUAAGGACAUGUGGAGCGCUUAGAAGUGAGAAUGCCGGUGUGAGUAGCGAAAGACGGGUGAGAAUCCCGUCCACCGAUUGACUAAGGUUUCCAGAGGAAGGCUCGUCCGCUCUGGGUUAGUCGGGUCCUAAGCUGAGGCCGACAGGCGUAGGCGAUGGAUAACAGGUUGAUAUUCCUGUACCACCUAUAAUCGUUUUAAUCGAUGGGGGGACGCAGUAGGAUAGGCGAAGCGUGCGAUUGGAUUGCACGUCUAAGCAGUAAGGCUGAGUAUUAGGCAAAUCCGGUACUCAUUAAGGCUGAGCUGUGAUGGGGAGAAGACAUUGUGUCUUCGAGUCGUUGAUUUCACACUGCCGAGAAAAGCCUCUAGAUAGAAAAUAGGUGCCCGUACCGCAAACCGACACAGGUAGUCAAGAUGAGAAUUCUAAGGUGAGCGAGCGAACUCUCGUUAAGGAACUCGGCAAAAUGACCCCGUAACUUCGGGAGAAGGGGUGCUCUUUAGGGUUAACGCCCAGAAGAGCCGCAGUGAAUAGGCCCAAGCGACUGUUUAUCAAAAACACAGGUCUCUGCUAAACCGUAAGGUGAUGUAUAGGGGCUGACGCCUGCCCGGUGCUGGAAGGUUAAGAGGAGUGGUUAGCUUCUGCGAAGCUACGAAUCGAAGCCCCAGUAAACGGCGGCCGUAACUAUAACGGUCCUAAGGUAGCGAAAUUCCUUGUCGGGUAAGUUCCGACCCGCACGAAAGGCGUAACGAUUUGGGCACUGUCUCAACGAGAGACUCGGUGAAAUCAUAGUACCUGUGAAGAUGCAGGUUACCCGCGACAGGACGGAAAGACCCCGUGGAGCUUUACUGUAGCCUGAUAUUGAAAUUCGGCACAGCUUGUACAGGAUAGGUAGGAGCCUUUGAAACGUGAGCGCUAGCUUACGUGGAGGCGCUGGUGGGAUACUACCCUAGCUGUGUUGGCUUUCUAACCCGCACCACUUAUCGUGGUGGGAGACAGUGUCAGGCGGGCAGUUUGACUGGGGCGGUCGCCUCCUAAAAGGUAACGGAGGCGCUCAAAGGUUCCCUCAGAAUGGUUGGAAAUCAUUCAUAGAGUGUAAAGGCAUAAGGGAGCUUGACUGCGAGACCUACAAGUCGAGCAGGGUCGAAAGACGGACUUAGUGAUCCGGUGGUUCCGCAUGGAAGGGCCAUCGCUCAACGGAUAAAAGCUACCCCGGGGAUAACAGGCUUAUCUCCCCCAAGAGUUCACAUCGACGGGGAGGUUUGGCACCUCGAUGUCGGCUCAUCGCAUCCUGGGGCUGUAGUCGGUCCCAAGGGUUGGGCUGUUCGCCCAUUAAAGCGGUACGCGAGCUGGGUUCAGAACGUCGUGAGACAGUUCGGUCCCUAUCCGUCGUGGGCGUAGGAAAUUUGAGAGGAGCUGUCCUUAGUACGAGAGGACCGGGAUGGACAUACCUCUGGUGUACCAGUUGUCGUGCCAACGGCAUAGCUGGGUAGCUAUGUGUGGACGGGAUAAGUGCUGAAAGCAUCUAAGCAUGAAGCCCCCCUCAAGAUGAGAUUUCCCAACUUCGGUUAUAAGAUCCCUCAAAGAUGAUGAGGUUAAUAGGUUCGAGGUGGAAGCAUGGUGACAUGUGGAGCUGACGAAUACUAA
rnacentral:rRNA from 1 species